rnacentral:rRNA from 1 species
AUGCCACAAGCGGCAUAUAGACAGAGGACGGAGCAGAGUGGCAUCCUCCUUCCUCUCUUCCUCCCCCGUCGCCGGGCUCACCACCGCCGCCGCCUCCUCCCCCCGCCCGUCGCCUCCUCACCGUCGGCCCCAGCCACGCCGCGCCCCUCCGCAUCCUCUGCUCUCCGCCCGUACAGAUCCGUCCGGCGAGCAUCCUCGGCCCGCUCCCGACGGGCUCGCCGCCGCCAGGACCUCACCGCCCGCCCUCCUCACUACGAAGAGAACCGAGGUCCGCCGCCCAAGCUCCAAUUUUUCGUCCGGGGAACCGAACCCAACCGUCCGCCGCCUUCUCUGCUCAACUGA